rnacentral:lncRNA from 1 species
AUUCGCUCCACCACCCAGGCCUCCUGCUGAGGCACAAACAGGAUCACCGUGUUUCGGGGCAGUCCAGAGGAGGCGCGGCGCGGAACGCGGCCAGAAGCCUGCACCGAGCCCUGAAGGAAGACGAGACAAAAGGGCUCCAGUGCCCCGCGCCGCGCGCGCCAGCAUUUCCCACAGCCUCAGCGACCUCCGGAACCAACGAGAGGUGGGGCAGAGCGGCCUCUCGUGAAGCCUGAACCCGAGCCCUUCCUUCGGCUGGUCCACUCCGCCCGACGUACUUCCGGCGUAUUAGUCCACCCUCCCAUCCCCACUAGUCGGCGUCCGUCAAAUCGUUCCCUGGGAAACGUAGGCUUUGAAGAGAGAGCCCGAGAGUGCAAGUUUAUUCUGGUUCUCAAAAACUACGAAGCUCCUGAGCAUUUUGGUAGAAACUGAGGCAAUAUUCUGUCCGCAAGUGGUACAGGAACACCACCCACCAAAUUCUGUACCCACAGCCGUGACUCAGUUUACCCUCCAGCUCGUGUAUAACUGUCCUAAUCUGUCACCACAACGACAAUGGAUUGGAUUGGCACUCAGUAGUUGCCCGUGGUUGCCAUAGUGACAUUCUUGGGUAGACAUGCUGUUGUGCCCAGCUCUCCCACUGGGGACUGACCCCAUUCCCGUUGUCAUGGUAACUAGGAGGCCUAACUUUACCUUACGACUGGGCGGAGAUUUCUCCCUUCCCUCUAUUCCCAAGGCAUCAACAGCUCUUUUUCAUAUUUUUUUCCUGAGCCAGAAACGGUCAGGCCUGAUCCCCUUACAUAUAGAGGGAAACAAAGAGCCUCAGCCUUUCAUUUUUGUCUGGAACACGUCACCUUGCUCAGGUCUCUGACACUCUCUCAAAUACAAGCUUUUAAGAGGCCUGUAACCCCCUCCUCAUCUCCUUCUUCUUACUCUUCUCCUCCUCCUUCAUUUUACAUAUACAGACACUGAGGUUCUGAUGGGGCUAAACUACAGAAUCAGUGUAAGAAUCCAGAUUCUCAGAGUUUAGCCUCUGUAGCUUCACUUUUCCUACCCAGCCCCCAGCACCUUAUACAAAAAGGACUAAGACUAUGGUCCAAGACACAGCUCAUCCCAGCCUAAGAUCUCAUGGGUUUGAGCUUGUUGCCAGAAUUCCAGCUCCCUUUAGGCCCCACAUCUCCAUCCCCUUGAACACAGAAAAAAGUAGAAGUUAGUUCAAGUUUCCAAACAAGAAUUUAUUCUUUAUUUUUUUUCCUUAAAAAAAUGUACCAGGUACAAUUUUUCCC